rnacentral:rRNA from 1 species
UGAGGAACAUGACCUUCGGCGGGGGAUAGCCGGCCCAACGGCCGGGUAAUACCGCGUACGACCUCUCGGGGACAUCCCCGGUUGGUGAAAGCAGCAAUGCGCCGAAAGAGUGCCUCGCGGCCUAUCAGCUAGUUGGUGGGGUAAUGGCUCACCAAGGCGACGACGGGUAGCUGGUCUGAGAGGAUGGCCAGCCACAUUGGGACUGAGACACGGCCCAGACUCCGUACGGGGAGCAGC